rnacentral:rRNA from 1 species
UACGUAGGGUCCGAGCGUUGUCCGGAAUUACUGGGCGUAAAGAGCUCGUAGGUGGUUUGUUGCGUCGGCUGUGAAAUCCCGAGGCUCAACCUCGGGUCUGCAGUCGAUACGAGCAAACUAGAGUGUUGCAGGGGAGACUGGAAUUCCUGGUGUAGCGGUGAAAUGCGCAGAUAUCAGGAGGAACACCCGUGGCGAAAGCGGCUCUCUGGGACGGUACUGACGCUGAGACGCGAAAGCGUGGGGAGCAAACAGG